UUCCGCCCUCCGCAGUUCUAAACUGGUUCGACGAACAGCAAACUUAUUACAAGUGAUAUUGUAAAACAAAAAAAAAAAAACCCGCGUUGUGAAAUGUCAAAAGUUUGUGACGAAUUUAAAUUAUAAUCUGUGCAUUGUGGUGAUUAUUUGUGUUUCAUUUUUUUUAAUUGUUAAUGUGUGUUGUGUGGAGAUAGCAUUUAUCUAUGUAGAGGUAUCAAUUGGAGGUUAAUUCCAUCAGUGACGUCUCGACACAGAUUGGACGUUCGACACACAUGUUUGCAGCUGACAAGGGUAU